AACGAACGCUGGCGGCAGGCCUAACACAUGCAAGUCGAACGUGAAGCCACCUUCGGGUGGUGGAAAGUGGCAGACGGGCGAGUAACGCGUGGGAACGUGCCUUUCGGUUCGGAAUAACCCAGGGAAACUUGGGCUAAUACCGGAUACGCCCUUCGGGGGAAAGAUCAUCGCCGAAAGAUCGGCCCGCGUCGGAUUAGCGAGUUGGUAGGAUAAUGGCCUACCAAGGCGACGAUCCGUAGCUGGUCUGAGAGGAUGACCAGCCACACUGGGACUGAGACACGGCCCAGACUCCUACGGGAGGCAGCAGUGGGGAAUAUUGGACAAUGGGCGAAAGCCUGAUCCAGCCAUGCCGCGUGGGUGAAGAAGGCCUUAGGGUUGUAAACCCCUUUCAGCGGGGAAGAUAAUGACGGUACCCGCAGAAGAAGCCCCGGCUAACUUCGUGCCAGCAGCCGCGGUAA
rnacentral:rRNA from 1 species